rnacentral:tRNA from 11 species
GGGGCUGUAGCUCAGCUGGGAGAGCACCUGCUUUGCAAGCAGGGGGUCAGGAGUUCGAUCCUCCUCAGCUCCACCA